AACCCGCACUCAGCAGCUAGUCUAACAAGUUCUACUUUAGGCUAAAUGAUUUUCUAUACUAGUCUCCGCCCCGUCACGUCAAUACACUUGAAAACGCCAUUUUGUAAAUCCAGUUCUCUGUCAACGUUGUUAUCAAAUAUGGUGUAUGGAUAUGUUUUUGGAUAUGUGCAUAUGUGUGAUGCCGUGUAUGUAACACAGGCACCGAAUUUCUCAUGCAAUGCACCGAAAAACUUUCAAGAGAUUUGCUGUGGAUGACAGAACCUGCCUCCAACUUCAACAUUUCACAGGAGGUGAUGGGAUGUGGGUGACACAACCUGCAUCCAACUUCUACAUUUCACAGGAGGUGAUGGGAUGUGGGUGACACAACCUGCAUCCAACUUCUACAUUUCACAGGAGGUGAUGGGUUGUGGAUGACAGAACCUGCAUCCAACUUCUACAUUUCACAGAAGGUGAUGGGAUGUAGAUGACAGAACCUGCAUCCAACUUUACCAUUUCACAGGAGGUGAUGGGAUGUGGAUGACACAACCUGCCUCCAACUUCACCAUUUCACAGGAGGUGAUGGGGUGUGGGUAACAUAACCUGCAUCCAACUUCAACAUUUCACAGGAGGUGAUGGGUUGUGGAUGACAGAACCUGCAUCUAACUUCACCAUUUCACAGGAGGUGAUGGGAUGUGGAUGAUACAACCUGCAUCCAACGGCAAGAUAAAUACUAUUAAAUAGUCGUAGUAAUGAUAAGUUGAUAACUGAAGGCGGACCAGAUUGCCUUAAUGCUAGCCCAUGCAAAUCCACAGUGUUUUAAUGCUAGCCCAUUCAAAUCCACAGUGUUUUAAUGCUAGCCCAUGCAGAUCCACAGUGUUUUAAAGCUGUUCCAUGUUGCACAAAAAGUCUGUUACAGAAACCUGUAGGGAACACAUGUAGUCUCUAAGACACGAGAAAACACUGGACUAAUGUCCUGAGCUGGAAUAAGUUCACUGACCACAUAUUCUUUGGGUCUUUAACUCACUAGUCUACACAGAAAAGGUAAUAGUGAAGUAUUCUAUAUGUUUAUUCAAAUUUGUUUAAUGUUACAUCAACACACUUUGCUAAAUUGUCAUCAUUUUUAAUCUAAAUUUAACAUAAAUAAAAGUAGUUGUUCCUAAA